rnacentral:rRNA from 1 species
GAUGAACGCUGGCGGCGUGCCUAAUACAUGCAAGUCGAACGAGGUGCUUUGUAGCAAUACGAGAGUAUCCUAGUGGCGAACGGGUGAGUAACGCGUUGGUGACUACCCCAAAGUGUGGGAUAACAGUCCGAAAGGAUUGCUAAUACCGCAUGUGGUCUUCGGAUUUAGAAACUGAUGACUAAAGGAGCAAUUCGCUUUGGGAGGGACCUGCGUCCCAUCAGCUAGUUGGUGAGGUAAUGGCUCACCAAGGCUACGACGGGUAGGGGACCUGAGAGGGUGACCCCCCACAAUGGAACUGAAACACGGUCCAUACACCUACGGGUGGCAGCAGUAGGGAAUAUUGCACAAUGGGCGAAAGCCUGAUGCAGCAACGCCGCGUGUGCGAUGAAGGCCUUCGGGUCGUAAAGCACUUUUCUGGGAGAUGAGCAAGGACAGUAUCUCAGGAAUAAGUCUCGGCUAACUACGUG